AAAGGUAAAGUCUAUAACAAAGGACAAAAGAUAUUAGAAAUAUUGUAUUAGAAGUUUUAUCAAGGGUGUGGCAAUGAGAAAAAGCUUUAAAAGAUCCACCUAACACUCACAUUCACCGACAACUUAAUGAUUACUAUACUGUUUCAACUAAAUAUUAUUAGUGACAACCAUGAGACGACGAGUAACAAUUAUGAGUAAUUUAAAAUUUCUUCUAAUGUACUCUUAAACAAUUCACUUUUACAUAUCUCAUAUUUGGGAGUUGUGCCCUAGCAUAAAAACUUAGAAUAUAAAACUAAGUGCACGAGCCUAUGGCCUAAUCCUAGAUUCCACACUUUUGGUCAAGUGUCUGAACCCACGAACGCAAAUAACCAUUAUAUCGUAGCUAUAAUACUGAGAAGUAAUUGACUUCCUUCUUCACAUUUUUGUCCUUUUACAAACGUAAGUGUUUUUAAUACUAUAUGUAUUUACAUGCCACAAUAGAUUUUCUAACAGGGUUCGAGGUAGCUACUAUACCUCUAAAAAUAAGAUUGUCAACUUUACGCACCUAAUCAUAAUAGUAAAACACCCAUACUUUUGAUCAUAAAACACAAUGGUGGAAGAACUCCUCCAAGACACACUUAAAUAC
rnacentral:lncRNA from 1 species